CUAAAAUACUUUUUAGAUGACCCUGAUAUGUACAUUGAGGUCUUUAGAGGACCUACUCAGACCUAUGGCCUAGAUUGAAAAGAUGUAAUGUUGCUCUUAAAUCCAACAUUGAUUUCUAAUGAGAAAUAAGUAGUAUUACAAGCUGUUACUACAUACAGAGACAGAUAUUUUAAUUUUGGAAGCUCAAAAAGACAGGCAUCCAGGGAAACAAUUGGUUUCUACUAGAAUACAAGCAGUUCCUAUACAAGACCCCCACUGGCCUGCCAAUCAGAUACGAGAUUAAAUAGAAGACAUUUUCAGGCAUGUAUUCUUGACGGUCUAAUAAACAUUAGAACUCAGUCCUUCAAUUAUUUUAAAUUGUCAACUUUUUAUCAGGAAAAAUAAGACAUCUCUACAUCCUGAUUUGAUUAAAGGAAAUACUAUCGUUUUUCCCAAGUCAGAGUCUUGCAAUAUGUAGAUGGUAUGCUGUUAUGUGUCCCCUCAGAAGAGCUUUCUAGCCAAGACAUCUGCUCUGCUGAAUUUUCUGACAGGGGUUAUAAUAUUUCUAGAUCGAAGGCACAACUUUGCAGCCUUGAGCUCAAGACUCUAAAACAGCUAAGGACAUUCAUGGAAAUUACAGGCUUUUGUGGCCUUCAGAUAGUAAUAUAUAGUGAGAUUUCGCGACCCAUCUAUUAGCUUAUAGAAAAGCCCAAGAGACAGACACCUGGGAACUUCAUUCCCAGACCUCAUUCCACAAGUUCAAACAAGCACUUCGAAGUGCCUACCUACAGGACACUGUUUCAGUCUGUAUAUUAAUAAAAGGAAAAACUGUCACAGGUAGACAUCUGCAGCACGGCAGGUUGGAGCCUUGCCAGGCCUUCUUCCCUCACUGCGUGGAAUUUGUACUUACCUCCAAAGAGUGUCACCUAGUCUCUUCUACAUCCAAACCUGGCCUGAGCGGACCCCACUGGAGAUAGAGGCUGCCAAACUCCAAGUAGUCAUACAAAUGGAACCAAUGACAAAUGUGCUCGACUUCUUUUACCAGGAUUCACCGGAUUGACCUUGUAAACAGCUCAUAACUGCUAAACUAUACAAUACAACUUCUAUGUUGGAUUCUGAAGUCCCCUGGACCUUCUCCUUAUCCUCUUUGUGGGAGGCUGUUACUAGUUCCUCUCAGUGGAGACCUUUGUUGGCUAUAUUCAUAGCAAAUCUGCUGACAAUAUAAUUUGGCCCAUGUUUUAACUUUUUCUUUGGUUUUCUCUCCUCAAGAUUCAAAGCUAUAUGGCUACCAAGAUGACAAUGCCUGGCACCUAUCAAGGGCCUUCAGAUAGACUCUCUGUAGACUAACUCUUAACUACUGAUGACAACUACGACCCUCUUCAGCUGGAAGUAGCCAGAACGGUCUUCGCCCUUUGCCCCCUCACAGCAGUUAGGGGUACUUCUUCAGAGGGGGUAAUAUUACAGAUGGGUAAGUUAAUUAGUUAUCUUGUUGGCAGGUAGACAGGGCAUCCUUAAGGUGUCAGCCCUCCUGGAGCCAACACACCAAGGAACCAACAUGGAGAACAAUUGAG
ensembl:lncRNA